rnacentral:rRNA from 1 species
UACAGAGGUCUCAAGCGUUUGUUCGGAUUCAUUGGGCGAAAGGGUGCGUAGGCGGCGCGGUAAGUCGGGUGUGAAAUUUCGAGGCUUUAACUUCGAAACUGCAUUCGAUACUGCCGUGCUUGAGGACUGGAGAGGAGACUGGAAAUUUACGGUGUAGCGGUGAAAUGCGUAGAUAUCGGAAGGAAGACCAGUGGCGAAGGCGGGUCUCUGGACAGUUCC